rnacentral:misc_RNA from 1 species
UUUCCGUAGGUGAACCUGCGGAAGGAUCAUUAUUGUAUAACCGAGGUGCGAGGGCUGUCGCUGACCCGAAAGGUCGUGCACGCUCGAGUGCCCUCACACACAUCCAUUUCACCCCUAUGUGCACCACCGCGUGGGUCCCCCUUUGGCUUGUUCGGAGGGGGGCUUACGUUUUCACACAAACUUUGUAUGCAGUGUAGAAUGUAUUUUUUGUUUUUGCGAUCACGCAAUCAAUACAACUUUCAACAACGGAUCUCUUGGCUCUC